UACGUAGGGGGCAAGCGUUGUCCGGAUUUAUUGGGCGUAAAGAGCUCGUAGGUGGUUCGGUAAGUCGGAUGUGAAAUCUCCAGGCUCAACCUGGAGGGGUCAUUCGAUACUGCCGUGACUAGAGGUCGGUAGGGGAGUGUGGAAUUCCUGGUGGAGCGGUGAAAUGCGCAGAUAUCAGGAGGAACACCGGUGGCGAAGGCGGUUCUCUGGGCCUUACCUGACGCUGAGGAGCGAAAGCGUGGGGAGCGAACAGG
rnacentral:rRNA from 1 species